rnacentral:rRNA from 1 species
GACGAACGCUGGCGGCGUGCUUAACACAUGCAAGUCGAACGGAAAGGCCCUGCUUUUGUGGGGUGCUCGAGUGGCGAACGGGUGAGUAACACGUGAGUAACCUGCCCUUGACUUUGGGAUAACUUCAGGAAACUGGGGCUAAUACCGGAUAGGAGCUCCUGCUGCAUGGUGGGGGUUGGAAAGUUUCGGCGGUUGGGGAUGGACUCGCGGCUUAUCAGCUUGUUGGUGGGGUAGUGGCUUACCAAGGCUUUGACGGGUAGCCGGCCUGAGAGGGUGACCGGCCACAUUGGGACUGAGAUACGGCCCAGACUCCUACGGGAGGCAGCAGUGGGGAAUAGUGCACAAUGGGCGGAAGCCUGAUGCGGCAACGCCGCGUGCGGGAUGACGGCCUUCGGGUUGUAAACCGCUUUCGCCUGUGACGAAGCGUGAGUGACGGUAAUGGGUAAAGAGGCACCGGCUAACUACGUG